UGGGGAAUCUUGCACAAUGGGGGCAACCCUGAUGCAGCGACGCCGCGUGAGCGAUGAAGGUUUUCGAAUCGUAUAGCUCUGUCCUAUGGGAAGAUAAUGAUGGUACCAUAGGAGGACGCCCCGGUUAACUACGUGCCAGCAUCCGCGGUAAUACGUAGGGGGCGAGCGUUGUCCGGAAUUACUGGGCGUAAAGGGUUCGCAGGCGGCCUGGCAAGUCCGAUGUAAAAGGCGAAGGCUCAACCUUCGUAAGCAUCGGAAACUGUCAAGCUUGAGUGAAGGAGAGGCAAGUAGAAUUCCUAGUGUAGCGGUGGAAUGCGUAGAUAUUAGGAGGAAUACCGGUGGAGAAGGCGACUUGCUGGACUUAAACUGACGCUGAGGAACGAAAGCGUGGGUAGCAAACAGG
rnacentral:rRNA from 1 species